GCUUAGGGCGCGUGCCUUCGCCGCGGUGUUGGGUCUGUUCCGUGCGGCGAAUGCUACCUGGUGUGGAGAGAGGCCGCGCUCUCCAUUUUCGCUGUCCGCCGUUCUGCCUUUUGCAUUGAGGUCGAUGGUGGGGUGGAUGGGCAGGGGCGAUGUGGUGAAGCUACAGGGAAGAGGGAGGAGGUCGGCGACAGGGUGAAGGAGUAGGCCGGCCCUCGUGGAGGCUGCGCUGCCAGCCGGCCAGGGAGGCGUCCCGGUUCGCCUCUGCUGUGCCGUGAGCGGCAGCGCCGCCUCUGCCUCCACCCUCACCUCCUUUUCCAUGCCUCUUCCUCUGCAUAGCAGCAUGUGCGAGGUUGCGGGCACAGGCAACCAUGGGCAAAUUUUGGGGAGACGCCAAGAAUAAUAAUUCAAGUGGAUGGCCGAUGAGUCUUGUUGUUUAGCGGUAUGAUGGUCGGUGAAAGUAUGUUCUAUAUAUAUUGCAAGAUGAUUGCCGUUGAAGCCGAGCCAAUUGAGAUCCGAGAGCCUCCUCCAUCUUCCCCUCCUCACCAAGGAGGUCAGAUUGAUCUAGGAUCUUUUUCCUAAAUUUUGAGGUCCUCCCUUGGCCCCUCCACUACUUGGCUCUCCUCUGUCUUGUUUCUCCUCUAUAAAAAAAAUAUGGAAACUACCACGAGAGAUAAUUGCGGCCUGCUGCUCUUCACUGCUGAAUAUCACAAAGAAGUAUAUCAGUUGGCAUCCUCCCAGAAGAAGAGAAGUCAAUAUACAAAGAAAAAAUCAUGACCAAACUUUGUAAACCAUAAGCAACUUGACAUUAAUCAUGACCAAACUUUGUAAACUCACCUGGUCAAGCUUUUCUCUUUUUUCUGAAAACUCAUUUAUCAAGUGAAUCUACUAUGCCAAGGAAGUAGGGAGCAACCAAUGGUUUCACUUAUUGGAGGGAGACGCGGAAUUAGCGCACUGCCUGACCCCAAAGGCUCGAGGGAGUGGGUCUCCUGUAGGGAAAUAGCAAGCAUUGCAUAAUGUCCUUUAAAUAAUCAAAUCUCAAUUAAAUCAAGUAUAUGACCAUAUAUUUUUAUCUAAUAAGCCAGAAAAGAAAGAAACACAACACCACAAAACCCCUAGAAGUGUCAUACAAAUUGUGCUUCAGAAUUAUUUGUCAAUCCCAUGCAGCUAUCUUGCCAUGGAAAUAAUCUCAUAUCAAAAUACAUUCAGAACUAUAUCCAUCAUAGCGUCCUUCCAGCUUCACUUACAGGCACCUGCUUGUUAUUUACCCAACUAAUAGUUGUUGCUUGAUAAUAAAGAAAAGAUAGCUAGAGAAACAAUUUAGUCCAGUAGACCAUUUGCUUAUUGUUUUAUACACACUCACUUCAUUUCCAAAUAAUCUUUUAUGCAAACUCGCUUGGUACCUGCAUAAGAAAUCAACAUUAUCAGUUUCUUGUGACUAUAACUCGUAGUUGAGCAUAAAAGAUUAUUUGGAAAUGAAGUGAGUAUGGGAUAAAAAAUCUUUUAUGCAAACUCGCUUAGGGUACCUGCAUAAGAAAUCAACAAUAAUCUUUUGUGCAAACUCGCUUGUGUACUCACCAAGUCUGGUGGUAUAUUUUAUCUAUUAUUAUUUUUGCCUUUGGAAACUACUCGUUGAUGGUAUGUAGGGAUGGCAAUGGGUACUCAUUACCAAUCUUUUAUGCAAACUCGCUUAGGGUAAGGGUAUGGGAUAAAAAAUUACCCAUGGGUAUAUUAAUGAAAAAAUAUUAAACCCAUCAGGUACAGUGGGUACGGGUACGGGUACGGGAUAGCAUAACCCAUACCCGUGUACCCAUAUACCCGCAUAAAAUCUGCUAGGUGGGCCUUCACUAUUCAUUUAUCUAAUCUAACUUGCCACAAAAUCAUUCUAUGUUUUUUUUGAAAGCACAAAAUCAUUCUAUGUUGCCCACCCACGCACGCACGUACAAGGAAGAUAAAAGGAAUCCCAUAUAUCUCGUUUUCUCUGCGUGAUUAACGUGAUUAGGCUUAGCCGCUUAGGUAAAUAAUCAAUACGUGGUCACGUUCCAUAUUCAGAGAGACGGAGAUUGAUAUCCUCCCCAUCUCCUGGUCUCCUUGCCUCCUCAGGCAUCGCUAGCCCCCGCCGCCAACGCUCCAGCUGCUCGCUGCCUCGCCGUCGCCAGCGCUACCAGCCGCUCGGACGCCAUGGACCUUGGGGAUGAGGACCAUAACUUUUGCAUGGACAGUGACGAGGAGAAGGAGAUGCAGCUCACGCUCACACACGGACUGAGUCGGACGGCGGCGACCACCACGGCGCAACACCAUCGUUGGAUGGUGCCAUCCCUCUCCUUCCGCCAGGAAAGGGCCAAGCCCCUGGCCAACGUAAAGGACCUGUACCUCCUGCCUCGGUAUCCAAGGCGCAUCAUCUUCGCAACACGUCAAGCCGUCCACCUCGCCCUAACCCACUUAGUUGAUUCUCUGCUGCCACCAAGCACAUGAACAAGAGCCAAGGCUAUUGUUGCUUAGUGAGUUUCAAUUUUGUGUAUGAUUUGAUCUUGUAGUUUUAUUUUCUAUAUAAAUUGUGUGAUGCAUUCGUAGGUGGUAUGUAGAUGUAUAGAUGAUGUGAUGAUAUGAUGUGUCUUUUAGCCUAUACAUGAUGUAUGUAACUGCUGUGAUGAAUAUGAUUUUUUGUAUACACAUGAUACAUAGAGAUGUUAUGAUGUAUAUAUGUGAAUCGUGAAUCAUGAUUU